UGACCAGACACAUCACACCCGCCUUCUAGAAGCCCUCCCUCACAAACCGGAUCAACUGCUAUGAUAAAGCUCCACCCCACUAAAAGGAAUGUCACUUCUGAGCAACGUGGGUGAGGAAUCAGCAGCCGAAGUAGCAGCAAGCUGGAAAGGAUGGAUGCUUCUGGAAGCCACCUCAGAGACCAACCACAGCGGAUGGGCCCUCCUUAGCACAGAGCUACUUUUAGCCCAUUGUUCUACUGUGGGGAACAGAGGGAAACCCAGGGAACGAAACAAACAGUGUCACCUGCCUUCUGUAGUAAUAGUAACCAGUGUCCACUACCAUUCCUUGAGGGCUUACAAUGGCUUCUGGUUGGGAGAAAGAUGGGAAGAGGAGGACAUUCAAGAAGAUCAGAGACGUCUGGGGUGUGCAGAAGUAUUUUUCCUUCUUAUUUUCCUGUAUUCAAUAGGUAACACCAUGGUGUGUGGCUUUUCUGGGCAGCCUGCAAAUGUCAUUGCUAGUGACAACAUUUUUCUGCAGGAAAACAUAUUCCAGCUUUUAAUCAUCUUUAGAAUAAACCCAUUUAUAAGCAGUAUAUUGGGAGUGAAAGCUGCCCAGGGAGAUAAAAAACAAUGAAUUUUUUUCUUUCAAA
ensembl:lncRNA novel transcript, antisense to GALNT12